UCUACCAGUCUCCCAAGUGU
rnacentral:misc_RNA from 1 species